UGUGGAAGAGCCACGAGCAGAGCAACUGUUCAGUUUGAAACCAGCAGGACGGCGCGAAACUGUCUCGUUUUGGACACUGCCUGUGAAUCCAGGCCACACUGACCAGAGACCUGCCUGCACUCUUUUGGAUGAAGAAGGCUACCCGUGUAUACAUGUGUGAACCAUUUCUUGUGUUGGAAAAACAGGAGACCUGAAGAGCUUUUGAUGCUUUUGGUUUGCCUCAUCCAUUAUGUCAGCAAAGAACAGGAGUGGGCAGGAAACAUGCGCUGUUGAAAACAUGGCCAACCAACUGGAGCACCCACAAGGCUCUUGUGAAGGAAGUCCACAAGCCUUUGUGCUUCAGGAUGGAUGGAAAGAACUCUUUGAUCAACCCCACAGA